GGGGCUAAACCAUGCACCGAAGCUGCGGCAGCGAACGUAUCACCCAAGACAACUUUACGGAGUUGACGAUUGACGGAGCGAAGCGACGUCAAAGCGUUCAUUAAAGUCGAGUUGGCUUAGGGAUACGUUCGUUGGGUAGGGGAGCGUUCUGUAAGCCUGUGAAGGUGUGUCGUGAGGCAUGCUGGAGGUAUCAGAAGUGCGAAUGCUGACAUAAGUAACGAUAAAGCGGGUGAAAAGCCCGCUCGCCGGAAGACCAAGGGUUCCUGUCCAACGUUAAUCGGGGCAGGGUGAGUCGACCCCUAAGGCGAGGCCGAAAGGCGUAGUCGAUGGGAAACGGGUUAAUAUUCCCGUACUUGGUGUUACUGCGAAGGGGGGACGGAGAAGGCUAUGUUGGCCGGGCGACGGUUGUCCCGGUUUAAGCGUGUAGGUGUGUGUUCCAGGUAAAUCCGGUUCACUUUAACACUGAGGCGUGACGACGAGGCACUACGGUGCUGAAGCAACAAAUGCCCUGCUUCCAGGAAAAGCCUCUAAGCAUCAGGUAACACGAAAUCGUACCCCAAACCGACACAGGUGGUCAGGUAGAGAAUACCAAGGCGCUUGAGAGAACUCGGGUGAAGGAACUAGGCAAAAUGGUGCCGUAACUUCGGGAGAAGGCACGCUGACACGUAGGUGAAGUGAUUUACUCAUGGAGCUGAAGUCAGUCGAAGAUACCAGCUGGCUGCAACUGUUUAUUAAAAACACAGCACUGUGCAAACACGAAAGUGGACGUAUACGGUGUGACGCCUGCCCGGUGCCGGAA
rnacentral:rRNA from 1 species